rnacentral:ncRNA from 1 species
AUUUUGGAAUGAAAAAACACAAUUCGGUUGGUAGUCCGAAUGCAUUAAAAAAUUUAAUGUCAGUAGCCUUCCCCUCCUCGGGAUGUCCAUCGUUCUAGUAUAACUG